UGUUGUUUGAACUCCCCUGGCGUUGUUUCACCUUAAUUCUGACAAAGGAAAUCCACAAACCUGAGUCAGUCUGACUUUGGGACGUGACAGAGGAUAGUCCUGACUCUUAAGCCUUGUUAGGUUAACAUUUGGUUUAUGCUAACAUGGGGCUGUCUGCAGCUGCAGGACCCUGUACACCCCCAAUAGUUCUAACACUACCAGUAAGAGAGAACAAGUCUAACUGUGUCCCAAAAGCCCAGGCACAGCUUCUGUGGGAACAAUGGGGCAAAGGAAUCUUCCUCACCUCCCUUCAGCCAUGGUGCGAGAGGACAAAGCCAUAAGACAUUGGGACAUUUCAACAGUGAAGCCAUCCACAGCCCAUAAAAAAGCUGUAGAAGAAGAAUCAAACUCACCCAUUUUCUGAGCUGAUUCCUUGUUCUCCAAAACCUGCUAAUCUGGUUAACCAGGCAAGGAAACAUGAGACAGCAACCCUAACCACACCAUGCAGGGAUUAGUAUGCCUGUCCCAAAAGGUGAGAGCACGAGGAGUCUCACUGUUUGCCUGCUGGCUACAAGCUGAAGAAGAUUUUGAUGGUCAUUUGUUUCAGCUGUGAUUGCAUAAAUUAAUAAACCAGCCAGGUGGUGGGAGGUCAGUAUAAAUCUAAUUGCCACCCCUGAUUUGGAUCUUCCCAACAGCCCACAAGGCAGCACCUCAGCUGUGUUCCCAUCAGUGCUUCACCACCUAACCCUAAGCCAGAGAGGAGGGGAUUUAUUGUCUUUCCCCACCUAUUGCUGAUUUGGGUUUAGUGCUUGAAAGAGGAGCUGCGGGGGGAGGGCUGGUGGCACUCAUGGUUCAACAGAGCAAAGCCAUCCCUGUCGCCUACAUGGAAGGUCACAGUCCUAAGAGUUUGUCAGCAAGGAAGUUAGUGCAUGCCUGGAAGAGCAGCGUGCCUAUAAUAGGGUGCUAAUUGACAUGCAUUAAUUUCCCAUGAGGACUCCUCCAUUCAUGGCCACGUAUUCACUUUGAAAGCGAUGCUGCUCUUACUAAUGAAGCACAAGCAAUGCAGCAAGGGGGAACUACACCCCAAAAUGGAGCUCAGGCAGAGACUCAUGGAGGGGGCUGUGAUAGCAAUGGGCUCCCCCGGGGUAAAGAGGGUCUCCAACAGCAUGUUGCCACUGCCAGCUCAAGGUGGGUGCACUGAGCCCUGUCCUUGCUCCUGUCCCUAGCCAUGGGCUUCCUCCUGCCUCUGGCCAGCACUGGACCUGCCCUGCCCGAAAACACCCUUAAGGGGUUAGUUUCCAGGCAGCUCAGUCUCUUAAGGGGAGAGCUAGUGUCAGCAAAGGAUUUGGGAACCAGAGAAGAGAAGUUGAAGGAUGGAAAUAAUAUGAAUGUAAUAACAUAAAACUGCUUCUUAAAUGUUUUCUUCUAUGGCUAAAAAAGAUGGUAUUUAACACGUUAUUGCACACGUGCAACAACACUCUAGUGAAAUCAUGUAACUUUAUUUUUCAAGAGAUCAAGACAUUUAAAGGAGUGCAAGGGACAUUUUAUUUUACCUUUGAUCCUACACCAUUUAUGACAAUGAUGGUAUUAACACUGAUAAAUUUUUGGUAUCCUGGCCAGUAAUUACCUUUCCAAUUGAAAUAUUUGCCAAGGAAUCCAGCUGCUUUUCAGGCAUCUUGGAACGAAGAUAAAUUUGCAUGCACGUUAGCAUGUUCAACAAGCUUUCUGUUCUAGCAUGAAUGAUCAGCAAUGUCAUCUUCAAGCAAUCAGGACAACAGCAUCUACUUAAUCCACUGGUGGAUGAUGUAAAAACUAAUGCUUGUGGUUGGUGAUGAAGGUCCCAAGUGCUGGGAAGCUCCAGUGGCUGAGUUUUGCAUCUCACUGGAAUUUGUGAAGGAACCAAUGAAGAGAACAGGAAUGUAUAAACUUCCUUUAAAAGUCUAAUUUUGUGGGCAAAAAAAAGAAGCCAGCCAAAGCUAACCUGGAGAUGAGGCAUCUAUGGACUGCAAGUGCUAGGUUGAUCUGGGGGAUUUUGGAGGACAAAGAUUCAUUCAGUCCUUUACUCACCCACUCCUUACCUCCAGCUCUCCACUGCUCCCAUCUGGGCAACUCUGGCAUGGGAAGCCUCCUGAAAACAGACUACGAGAUACUUGGAAACAGGAGAUGUGUAAUGGGUAAAAGGAUUAAAUUUUGCCCUUGAUUGCAUUUAUUCUUAAAAAUGUGACUUUUAUCACUUUCCCACCCUAUCUUCCCAUUCAGUCUAUUGCUAACCAAGUCCCACCAGCAGGAAACAAGAUCUUAUCACGAAAAGAAGUAGUCAUGGCUGAGUAAGACCCAUCUUGGAAAUGGGCAGAUGCAGCCAAAUCAGAAAAAAAAAAAAAAAAGUGUGUUACCAAUAGGCUCAAGACAAAAGGGUAGGUUGUGACUGCAAACUCUCCCCACAGUGGGAAGUAUUUGCAUGCAGGUAUUUCUUUGAACCAUCACACAGAUGCAGCGGCUCUGUUUAUGCCAGAGGUCUUUGAAGUCUGAAGAUCCAGACAACCUCAUUUACCAGCUUGUCUUAAAUUGAAGUGAUCUGGAACUGACUGAACCCUCAUUACAAUUUUUGGCAUCCCAUCUCUGAGACGUGUGACCUCACUCUGUUGAUGCCAUUCUUUUCUGUUGCAGGAUUUUUUCUGUGUGUGCAAAGCCCACGUCAUUUCUAAUAAGCCCAGGUGUUGUGCGCUUAUCAGUGCCAGCUUCUGCCUACUCUUUCCAGUCCCUUAUUGUGAAGCAUGACACAUAGCAUAAGGAAGAGAACAGAAAGCCAUGCCCUGCAGCACCAAGAGACAUACUCCCAGCUUUCCAGAUGAUGCUCAUCUUUCCCAUCACUUUCCAAUCCAACUUUAUUCAUUGUGUGAUAAGCAUCAUAAAAUAAAGGUAUUCCCAGACAAGUGUGUCACACAGCACUAAGAAGAGCACGUUUGCUCAAAGCCUGCAUUGGUUUGGGCAGAUUUUCUAGUCAACAGUCACCUUCAGAAAGCAAAAGCUGUUGUUGUGUUUGCCUGGUUGUUUUCAAGAGCUGAAGAAAAUGUGUUCUUUGUUCUUGCAUUUUCUUACACAUUCAUGAGGAAAUGCAACCAUUGCCCAAGGUAGGGUGAUCCCCCAGGCAAAACAACUGUUUGACAAGUUGUAAUACUGUGGGAUGUUCAAAUAUUACAGCAAACAUCAGAUAAACACCCAGAAACAGCAAACAAUGAAUGGCAGGGGGAGAGAUCAAAGCAAACCUUCACAGCACUCAGCAUGGAGACACCUGUGGUAGCUCAGCAGAAGCUGGUACAGCUCAUGGCACAGCACCGUGUGGGGACAUCAGCUCAGGUUCUGCAAGCAGGUUGAGUGGAUGCUGCUGUGCUGACCUCCAGGACCCAGAGCAAAGGGUGCUGCUUGCGUGGCAUGGGGAUGCUCACACAGCAGCCUCCCAUCUGGUUACAUCAGUGACUGGAGGUUCAGAAACCAGUGGCAGCUGCUGGUGGCCAAUGUCCAGAGCUAUGUAUGCAACAAGACAAAUGACUUUGACGUUGCUUGUCCUCAGCUGGGCAGAUUGGACAGAACCAGGCAGAAGCGAUGAGCAGAAAAAAUGAGCAACGUUGCAAAGGACAAUCAACCUGUUCCAUGGAUGCCAUGUUCCUGCUCAGCCCAAAAGGACAUGAACUGGGGUUUCUCACUCUCUAACAAACACCCUGGUUGUGGGGAUAAAAACCAUUCUGGCAAGGAGCUCUCUGCAGGGUAAUGUAUGAUAAUAAAUACAUUUUCACACAUAGGCCCUCACUCUGCUACACCAACCAAAAAGUGACUGGUUUCAGCAAGUCAGGAGACUAGGCUACAGACAUCUUGGGGCCCUUUGCAAACCUUCUGUUUAUAUGAAAUAGAAGUUUUACAACAAGAACAUGUCCCAGUAAAAAGUUUCUUAACAUAUCAGUGACAUAGAUGCAAACAAAAUCCCCCAGACAUGGUCCUUAAUCGGUCUGCCCCACAUCUUCAAACCUGGGAUAUUGUAAGUAUACCUGAUAGGGGUCAUAUACUGAUAAAUGGAUGGGGUUUGUGUGUCUUUUAGGCCUCAAGGAAUCAUCUGGGAAACCACAAGAUUUUAAUGAGCCUGCCCCAGAGACAUUAGAUUUUAUGGAAACAGAUUAAAAGAAUUUUACUUAACCAUUUAAUCAUGCAGUAUAAUGAGUAAAUAAAAAAUAAUGCCAUACAGAUAAGACAUGGGAAAUUCCAGUGCUAGUGAUAUGGAAUGUAUGGAAAUGAUAAUUAGGUGGAUACAGAAUGAAAAUAAAAACAAAAGUGAAAGAAGAAAGGCAGAUUUGUGAAACAGGGAUUAUAAGAUUAUUAGAAGACUAGGGCAGUCCCAUAUUAGAGAAAAAAGUCCUCCCUAAUGUAACUUUUUUCAAGACAGUUUUUGCCAUCUUUGAAUUUGAACUUUUGCAUGGACAUAGAGUGAAAGAUUGAGGAAUACAACUGGGAUCCAGAUCUCUGCAUUGUCUUAAUGAGGUCUUUAAAAUACCUGUAUCUCAGUUUGAGGAAAGCCAAAAUUACAUUCACUGAUGAUGUGGAAAACCAUAGUGUGAGGGUGACACAAAACAAAGACUGUGGCAAGAUGGUGCUGCCUUCUGCGAAAGGCUCUAGGGCAGAUUUGGGGGCUACAAGAGGGGACAUAUUUCUAAGAAUGACCUUGGUAAGACCAUGGGAGCAAUAUUCCUCUUCUCCGUGACAGGAUCCUCUCAAAGUCACAAUCCCAAGGAAGACCUGCUGACAAUGUGCAGACAUCUGACGUUUCUUGGGCUGUGCCUGGCUGAAAGCAAACCAAUAAUACAACUAGUGGAAAGGCUGCCCUUUCUAUUCUUUCACUUCAUUAACCAAACUGAAGGAAAUAGGAAGCAAUGUCUUUUAGAUCUAGAGAGAGAUUAAUUUUCACUUCAACAGAGUGUUUUAACACUGUCUUUUUUAAGUUUUGACCGAUUGUGAAGUGGAACAAUUCUUUCUUGAAAUAGUCUCCACAACACUACCUUCUCAGCUGUCCAUUCUCAUGCCACUCUAGUGUACACCAGCUCUACAUUUCUUCAUGAAUGGAAAACACAUUUCUCCCCUGGGACUUUUACCUGAUGCCCAUGACUAUUCAUGUACUGGAAAGUCUUCAGCAAGCAGUGCGGAGCUCUGAGCAAGCUCUCUGAAAAGCAGAAUAUAUCAGGGUUUCUAUAACUACUUAAGAAGCCCUCUGGGCCCCCAUGGUGGAAAGGCAGAGCCCAUCCAGGUCUGUCUCCUAGUGACAUGGAACCAAGCCCUAGAAGUGUGUAGAGUAAAGGUAAACAAUGAAAAACAUAAUAAAAGGGGUUCGGCUUCUGUCUCCAGCCUGGGGAUGCAGACACUUAAGAGAAAGGAAUUACAUGGGCUGGGCAAAGGGGAUAGGUUUAUUAUCCCUCUUCUCUUGCAAAAGGAAAUGUUCACUGGGGGAAAAGAUGAGCUUCAGCAGGGCAGUCACACACUGCCUCAGGAGAUGACAGCCCUUUGGGAGCUGUGGCCAUGGACAGAGUGUUAGAAAUUAUCAUCAUGACCCUCUUGCUGUGCAGAUCAGGAGCAGGAUCAGUGCAGACCAGCCAGCCAAAGACAGGCCAUUGAGUGGCCCAACACUGCAGAUCCAGUAGUCCAGUAGUUGAGCUUGUGUUGUGGGGCACAGCUCAGGUCAUCAGCCCAAGGAGCAAUUUCUGAGGAAUUGUCUCUGAUUAGACUGAACACUGAGAAAUGCUGCUUCUCUCAUUCCCACUUGCCUGCCUGACUCAGACACGGGAGUUCGCUUUAAUACAAGUGGACAAAAAGCUCAGAAAAUUCUGGCACGAAGCACCACCAUUUUGUGAUCUGUUAAUUACGGACGCAUCUGAACUUUGAAGGAGUAGUCUGAAUACAGCUGCAUCCUUAGAAAAAAGCAUCAGUAGUGAAAAAUUCACACAUGCAGCUCCAUGUGCAGAGGCAAAAGAGGCUGCAUAUAAAGAUGAAAGUGAAGAGGAAGCUGGGGCUUUGAGAAAAACUUACGCACUCUUCCUAUUAGGCAUCCCAAGACCAAAUGGAGAAAUAGAUGAAGCAUAUACUCUGCAUACCCCAGCAAUGGGAUCUGGACUUCCCUGUCAGUUUUGUGGCUGAAGACCAAGAGAGGUGCUCAGUUUGGGGGCAGCACAGUGACAGAGAUGUUAUGGGAACUUGAACACAGUUGUUGAGAUAGGGCUCAAUUCUGCUGCAUGCUCCCUUUGAGAUGCUAUGCUAAGCUGCUGUUACAGGCUUGCUGCAGUUCCUGCAUCAGGUCUGACAGCAACAUGAGGAUUUUUCAGAUACUGUGGGGCAUUUCAAAUGGCAGCUAAAUGCAUGAGUCUUAGCCUGCAAGAUGAAUCCCAUCUGAGGAGCCUGUGCAUUGCAUUAUCCCUGGAGGCCCUACAAUGUUCCCCACAUCAGGUGUUCCGAAGUUAUUAAACCCACAGAUUCACAAGAUGUUCUGAUAGUGCUUUGCCUUAUACAGUCCCUAGGGAAACAAAACUGCAACAAGAUCCAGUUAUGCCAGCACUGUAUGCAUGCACAGAGAGCGGCAACACCAGUUCCUAAAUGCUUUAGUGAAGAGACCUGAACACAGAGAGCUAAGUCACUUGCUCAUGGUCUCAUAGACAGCAUAAAUGCCCUGCCAAAAGCAAUCCUGCAAAGGACCUCUGCCUGUACUUAUAUUAUUCAGUCCCCAUGACAAUCCCAUUGCGGCGACAACCCCAUGUGGCAGGGUUAGAGGCAGCAAGAAGUCUCUCCUGCUCUGAAAGCAAUGCACAAGUGAGCCAAGACACACGGCAUCACGAUAGGGUUGCUCCAGCUAAUCUGAUAUAAACACAACUCUUGUUAUACCACCUGUUGCUAAGGGAAUAGCUUUUGUGUUUCACAUGGGUUUGCACCCAUCAAGGCCUGCUAUUUAUGAACCAGGCAGAAAAGAGCUGUUGGAAUACGGGUCUUGACCUGCCUUUUGUCUGUGCCAAGGAAUAGAUAUUUCCUGCCAUACUGGCCUGUCAGAGCUAAGUUGUUCUUGAGGAUGGAGCUGGGUAAGCAGAAAGCCAGUGCCCUCUCCAUAUGCACCCAAGGGUUCAAGAGGACUCCUAGUACCAGAAAAAGAAGCUGUAGCCACAUGAAGCAAAGCUCUGGUGCAGCAGAAGUUGACACUGCUGGCAGAAAUUUAUUCCAAUGGUUACCUCUGACCUGGCAGGCUUUGUUCUGGAACAGACCCAGCACGGUCUGUACGACGCUGUCUCUAGCUCAAAUCAGAUGUCAUCUGACUGCACUAUGCCCACAUAGUAUCACACCAUGGCAGUUAAGCCAAGAUCACCACUUCCUUCUCCCAUAUUGUCUGCUCUGUGUGCCCUCCUCAAUCUCCUUCUACUUCCUCCUCUUUCUUCUCCCUUGUGCCGCUCCCAGUGCUCUUGUGCUCCCCUGGCAAGGCAGUUCAGGGAGCAGAUCCAUCUAACACUCACCCAGCAACGAAGAGGGCAACGUGGUCAGGCCAUGUGACCGAGAGGACAAGGUGGCAGCAGCCCAUGUUUGACUUGGCUGAUGCUGGCAGGGAACCGUGCACUAACUCUGUCCUCAGCAUAGUGCGUGUGCUGGGUCAGGCAUACAUAAAAUCAUAUAUGCUGCCUCAAGUCUGUAUUAUGCAUCCUGGCUAAUUGAAUUUAAAUUUAUUCAGAACUCAAACCUGUUUUGGUUCAAAUCCACGUUGUGACAUGACCCGGCAGCAUAUAGACCUGGUACUGAGGGUUAUGGAAGUACAAACCCCAUCUCCAUCAUUCAUGCAGUCCCUGGCUUUUUUGCUGGGACCUCUUGCAGGGUCCCAGGUUCAACUUUUGGGAUGUGGCCAUACCUCCAUCAUGGACAGAACAACUCAGUGGCCCUCCUGCAAGGGAAGCUAAGAAAUUAAUUCUUUAUCACAUGGGGCUGAACUGAGGUCUCUCAAUACUUGGAAACUCAGAUGUGUCAUAGGACUCUUACAACAUCCCCAUUCCAGGAACGAACCAGUGAUUCUGAUUUCCUAGACAUUCCUAUGCCCCAAGUUGUCCAGGGUUUGGCUUCCUAUAUAUUGAAGGCAAAGAACAUGAUACUUAAGCUUGUCACCAACAAUACAAUGUGCAUAUAACACAGGAUCCACUCCUGUGCUGGGCUGGCUGGGCUGACAUUCACACCAAGAAGAAAAAGGCUCCCUUCUCCUUUUGGUCACCACUAUGGACUCAUAGUGUCACGGCCAAAGAAAACUGGUUCUUCCUCUUACAGACUGCAGACAGAGGAACUGGUUUCCACAAGGGAGGGUGAAGAAAAUCUGCAUAAAACCAAAGCCAGGAUUAAAACACAGUAAUUCUGGACAAUAGGCCAGUGCCAACUGAUCCAAAAUGCCCUUGGCCCCAAAGGAAAUGGCUGUCUAAUUAACAUCACUAGAGGGAAGGCAUGUGCAUGGCUCAUAUGUGCUCUCUGCCAAGGUUACAGUUGGCAAGAGCACACUUUGCCAAGAGCAGCCUGCAGAUAAAGACCCAUGUUUUCCACAGCCUAGAAUCACAUGUCUCUCCUCAUUUCAGAGAUACAUCCACCACCAGCGGGCUGCUCCUGCCAUUUUGAGAGUCCCUGCCUAGGCACACUAACCUCUCCAGAGUUAGCCUCUGCUUCCACUAGAAAAGACAGAUGAGUUCCUUAUGCAAUAUUUAACAAGACCUCAAAGCCAGAGACGCUUUUGUCCCCAUUUCAGCCUAAAGCAUGGGUGCAAGACUCAACUAGCCCAGAACUUUAACAAGGCAUCACCAAAAUGAAUCAUUACUACCAAGUUAUGUGAUUACUUAACAUUCUGUAUGCAUAACUGGAUGAAACCAGCUCUCUCCCCUCUCUUCUUUCUCCUUUGUCGAAUCUCCCCAAUUAUCUUCAUCUGUUGAAGCCAAGAUCCUUUCAGUACCUCCAGCUUGCCAGGGACAGCUGCCCCAGCUUGCUAGCUGAAUUAUAACACACCCUCCAAAUAAGACUCUGGCUCAGAAAUCACUUGAGUGAGAAUAUCCCUUAAGUGCAUAACAAGGAAAGCACAGUUGGAUGAGUAAUUGAUUCAAUUUGGAUUGAAAUGGAAAAAUAUAGUCGGGUCCUACUCUCCGUUUUCUCCUCCAGUACUUGCACAGACUGCAGUAGAUCUGUUCUCAGGACUCAGAGAUGAGUUGAAGGUUCUGAGCUAGCUUUCUUGCAGAGGUUGCCUGGCUCAGGGUCACCACGUGGAUUCACAACCAGCUAUUCUCUUAUUGCUAACAGAGCCCGGAGAGGGAACCUCAGGAUCUGCACAGGUGGAAAGGAGGUAGUUCUGCUUCGGAGCUUAUCUGAAGGGCUGUUUUGCAGUGGGCUGAUGCUUAGACUUUCAGGACUUGACUGUAAGCUGUAAGGUUGGGAAUAGCCCCAAGGCACAGCUUAUACACGAUUUUUGGAAAGGAGAGGGGGUUCCUGUUAGCUGGUGAAAGGAAUGGCCAGCAGGGAGCCAGGUACCUCCAAGGGCACAAAACAGGAGGAUGUCAGCACUGCAAGAAAGUUGAGGAGAUCUGCAAUUCUUUAUUGGAGACAAAUUGUAGUGGUGCAAUUCUUCACACCAAAGAUAAGGGAAGGUAAGCUGCAUCCCUCUGUGCCUCCAUGCAGCACCCAGACUAGGUAAAAACAAAGAUGGGAACCCAGUAUGGAGUGGUUGUCACUGUCCUCUUGUCCUGCUUUGACCUAUCUGGGACUGUAAGAUCUCUGACAGAUCUUUCACUAAAUGCACGUGCAGCACCUGGCACAGAGGAACCCGGAGUCUAGCAAGGCUGCCAAUCUAUUGAGAAAAAUAAUAAACUUAGUAGAUACAAUCUCAAAGAAUGCAGAGCAGAGAGCGCAAGCCUCUGCCAGGGCAGGGACCUUUCCUUAUGCACUUCAAGGGAGACCUUCAGCAAAACCAACCCAUUGCUUAAUGUGUGGGGAUGAAGGACUGUAGAGGAAUAUGCAAUACAGGAGCAAGUAUCAGCUUAGCCAUGUCUAAGACAGGACAGAUCUUCUUGUCCCUCUGACAUGCCUAUCUCCAGCUAUCCUAGCAGUAUUUCUGUUUUUCCUCUGCAGAUAACAUGUUUGAGUAUUUUAAGAUGCACUUAGGAUUUAAGUGGUGUCAGCUCUGUAAUACAGAGAGUCUGCACCAAUAGCCACAUUACAAAAGAAGGAGUUGUAUGCUCACAUUAUUGCUGCUUUCCCACCAGUGGUGGCAAGUAGAAUACCUUCCUUUCUCCCUAGGAGGGACAGCAAGCACAUGGAAACAAAAGCCCACGGUCCCUGUAACACCUACCAACAAGGUCUAGAGAGAACACAGGUGUCUCCUUCAGAAGGUUUGUGAAGAGUUUUGCAGAAAGAAUUGUGCAUCCUCAUGGCACCAUCCAUGAUGUAAUCCUUCAUGACAUCGCCCUUCUAGAAGAAGUACAACCCAAGGUUUCUUUCCAGAUGUUCAGGCUGGCACAGCUCAAAGCAGGAAAUUGGCUCAGGACUUCCUGGGGCAGGGGAGGAGGGCUUUUCCCCAAACAUUGAUUCUCAGUGGAUUUCCAUCUCUGCUUCUUAAGCUUCUUUCUGUGCACUCUUGAUUCCCACCGCUCAUCUACCCCGGGGGCAUUCACUUGAGAGUGUUGCCACUCUAUUAAAUGUGAAUUGAAUUAGGCAGGAGGCAAUUAUCUGUGCUGGAACUU